ensembl:lncRNA
AUGAACACAGCUCUAGAUAAGGAGAGUCUCCAGCUCACCAGCCGUCGUUGCAAGGGGCCCCAAGCAGUGCCGCCUCCGCCGCCGUUGGCUGGCAAGAAAGUCCCACCUGCCCUUACAGUCAAAGCAGCCUCGCCAGCCAAGCCAGGGCCGGCUCCCAAGCCAGCUUCUCCAGCCAAAUCAUCAUCCCCGAACAAAGUAGCCUCACCCACCAAACGAGCAAAACCUGCCAAGCUGGCAUCGCCCACCAAGACUGCACCUCUUGAGGCAUCCAAAAGCCCAGGGACUGCUGAGCCCAAUGCUGCACCCACUUCCAAGUCUCCCAGCUCUCAGUCCAUGGCUGACAGUGAUUCUUUUCCUGCUAAGCUUGAUUUCAAUCCAUCUGCCUCAGCCCCUGUGAGUUCACUCCACUUCUCCCCUUCCCCCUCUGCCACUGCGCAAGCCUUCCCCGCUACCUCGUCCCCUCCUGAGAUCAGAACCUCACCUACAUCACCUUCAGCCCCUUCCCCUCUGGCCCACACCUCUCCACCUGAAACUCCCUCACCCUCUGCUCCUCCUGCUCUCCUGACUGGUACACCUUACACAGCUCCUUCCACCUCUAUCCCAAGCUCCUCCCCGUUGUCUACUGACAAACCUCCCCUGUCUGCAACCGAACCAGCUUCCGUUUCUCCUUCCUCUCCCACCAAACCAGCUUCUCCCACCAAACUAGCUUCCCUGUCUCCCUCUUCUCCCACCAAAACAGCGUCUCCCACCGAACCCCCUUCCCUUUCUACAUCCUCUCCCACAAAACCCACUUCUCCCACCAAACCCCCGUCCCUCUCUCCAUCCUCUCCCACAAAACCGGCCUCUCCCACCAAACAACCUUCCCCUUUUCCCUCGUCUCCUACCAAACUAUCUCCCGGUUCUCCCUCGUCUCCCACCAAACCAGCCUCCCCUUCUAGCUCCCUCUCCACCAAGCCAGAUACUCUCACCUUCCCAACCAAAGGCACCAGAGUUGCAAGCUUAUUCCUCUCUUGCUCCUCUCCAACCAAACAAAGUGCUUCCUCCCCUUGCUCUCCUUUCAAAGCACGCUCCGCCUCUCCUACCAAACAAGCGUCUUCCUCUCCCUCUUCUCCCAUCAAAGCAGCCUACCACUCUCUCUCCUCUCCCCUGCAGCCUACCAUGUUUCCCUCUCCUCCCUCUACACCCCCCCUUUGUGAAACCCCACCCUCUCCCGUUGGCCCGCCUGUCCCUCUUUCACCUAGUUUCUUACCUGCUGAUGUUGCUUUUGCUGGAGAGUUCUGAGGUGGAGAUGAUUUAGAUAGCUCGUCUCUUCUGAUAGAUGUGUUUCCCUGUACCCUCAGCAAAGCCUCAUUCCAUGUCUGUGUCAUUCCUGUACCUUGCCCACCUUUUUCUCAGCGUGACAUUUCAGAGGCUAGAGCAUUCCCAGUAGCUGUACCUGAGCCAGUGGCUGCUGUCUGUUUUUUUUUUUUUCCUCUCAUUAUUACUUCACUCAUUUUCUGACGAGGUUGCAAGGCAUUUUUGAUAACACUUGGUUGAUUGUAUAUAUGCUUGUAUUUAUUGAUGGGAGAUGUGGAGAAAGGGAAGAAUAUUGCUGUAUGUUCUGAGUGGUUGUCUUUGGAAGGCCAUGCAUAUUAUAUCAUGUUGAUGUGAAUUCUUUCUUCUUUUAUUUAUGAUCUCAUCUGGAUUGCCUGUGGCUAUUAUGUAAAUAGAUGUUUGUUACACUCACUCACACAUACACACACACACACACACACACACACACAAACACACACUUCUUUUCCCCUUGUGGUGUCUUUUUUUGCUUUGCAGUGAGACACAUUGUGUCCAUGUUAGCAAAUAUGUCAACAUAUCAAACGUCUGAACUUAGCUAGCCUAGUUACCUGUAGUGCUGUGGGACAGCUGCAGCCUUAGAUCCAUGUAUACUCUCUAUAACCAGUAUCAGUAUUUCUAUGGUCACAACCAACCCUAUCUCUGACUGUCUGUUUAAUUUAGUCUCCCCCAUAAAGGAAACAGUAUUACUGCAUACAGUAGGUGGACAAAAUAAAGAAAUACCUACCAACAUUUUUAUACGAAGUGUUAAAUAAGGAGUUGGGCAGCUCUUUGCCUUCAGAACAGCGUCAGUUCUCCUGGGGUUGCUGGACUUUGUAGUGGGACAUUGGACCAUGCCAUAGGCCAUAGGAUGCAUUUCUUUAAAGGCAUACUCCAACAUUUUUGGCAAAGUAAACUUUUACCAACUUACCCAGACUGAGACAAGAUGUAGGAUACCAUUUUCACCUCUGUGUGUCCAGUGGAUCAGUUCCUAUGGGUAGCAUUUUCUUAGCGUUGCAUAAAGAGUUGAAGUCUAAGGAAGUCAUAGACUAGUUCUGUCUUAUUUACACAGUGUGUCGUAUAUUUGAAAUACAUGUCUUGGAAUUACAGAAAAACUAAUUGUUUUAGGAGAAGUUACUUUGUGCUGGAUCUUCAUAUACCUUCAGCGGUGCACAGAUCACUGUGAUAGAUGGAAGGAUAAAUGUUGUUCAGCAGUUACAGAUCCAUCAUCUAACUUCUCCUGAGAUGACUCUCAUUUUAUAAGAAAAAAAAAAAAAAAAAUCCAAGACGUGUAUGACAAAUAAACAAUAUAUUAUUUUAUUUAUUUUUUUUUUUCACUUUGACGAUGCUUGGUUAAUGACUCCCAUAGACUUCAAGUCUUUCUACUAAGCUAACACAAAAUACUACUUAUAGGAAGCGAUCCACAGGAUGUACAGAGGUGAAGAUGGUAUCCAACAUCUUGUCUGAGUCUGGCUAAGUCACAAAAAGGGUAUUUCCCCCCAAAACGUUGGAGAAAUUUAUGUCACACUCUGCACCACACCCUUUGAGCACUUUGUGUUCACGUUCACUCUUAAAGACGUCUGUGAGGACAGUAAUAUUAGCAUGGUUACAGUAGUAUCUACAAUAUGCAAAAUAACAUGUCAUCAGAUCAGACCAUAGUAGUUUUUUUUUUUUUUUUUUUUUUUUUCACAUUUCCAAGGGUUUUUCGCUCCUUACAAGCAUUUUUAUGUACUGGAUACAUGUGGUUUCUAAAUGGCUAGGAUUCAGUUGUAUGGUUAUUUCUGAGGGUUUAGUGUUGUGGCAUCCUGUUCCUGUCAACAGGCUU